CGGGGAUCCCGGUUUCCCAGCCCCCUUCCGGCAGGCAGCAGCCCGGGCGGGGGACACACUCCGUGAUCCCCUCCUGGCUGGAGGGGUCAGGCUUGGUGGACCCAGCAAGCAGCCUGAUGGAGAAGGUGGCACCAGACGCAGACCCCUACCGUCCAGGACCGCAAGCCCUCGCCGGCUCUGCGUGCUUUUAGGUUUUGUCUCCACCUCUGCACACCCACACUCGCCUCCUGGGCCGCGACAGCUUCCUUCUGUCAAUCAGGUGUGGACGGGAAGGUCUCGAAGUUUCCUCGCCUGAGUUGAAAGCUGGAGGUGGGGGCACCUCUGCCCGUUCCUAACUGCCCCGUUAUAAGGUCCCCCUCCCCACAAUUGGUUCUCACCUCGCCCUCGGAGCUCUUGGGAGAUCCCUCCGUCCCUCCUACUGUGCCCUCGGGCAGAUGAGUCUGGUCCCAGCUUCUGGACUGCCCACUGUCGGCCACUUGAGAGUUGGGGACGGUGGGGCAUUGUGACGCUCUCCAACCUUGGAACACGGUGGCAAAGUGGCCGAUCAAUAUAUGGGACAAGUGGGGGCGGGGGGGCGGACUCUAAGGUGGAAAAAACAAUACUACUUGGGAUUUAAGGAAGCAAUCUGGAUUCUGUCUCCCCUUGGUUCUUCGGAGCUUAGAGGUCUAACGGCGACAUUCCUCCUACAGUCUUCCUUAAUAUAUGUCAGCAGUGGAGUGGUGUGCUUAAGGAGAGAGAGACUUGGAAAAAUACAGACCGAGAACAAGGCCAUGUGGAGAUAGAGGCAGAGACUGAAGUUGUACCACCAAAGGCAAAGAAUAUCAAGUAUUAUCAGUAACCACAGGAAGCUGGAAGAGGCCAGGAAAGGUUUUUCUUAGAGACCUUGGAAGGAGCCUGACCCUGGAACACCUUGAUUUUAGACUUCUGACCCUCAAAAUUGUGAAAGAAUAAAUUUCUGUUGUUUUAA
rnacentral:lncRNA from 1 species